rnacentral:rRNA from 1 species
AGCGAACGCUGGCGACAGGCUUAACACAUGCAAGUCGAGCGGGCAUAGCAAUAUGUCAGCGGCAGACGGGUGAGUAACGCGUGGGAACGUACCUUUUGGUUCGGAACAACACAGGGAAACUUGUGCUAAUACCGGAUAAGCCCUUACGGGGAAAGAUUUAUCGCCGAAAGAUCGGCCCGCGUCUGAUUAGCUAGUUGGUGAGGUAAUGGCUCACCAAGGCGACGAUCAGUAGCUGGUCUGAGAGGAUGAUCAGCCACAUUGGGACUGAGACACGGCCCAAACUCCUACGGGAGGCAGCAGUGGGGAAUAUUGGACAAUGGGCGCAAGCCUGAUCCAGCCAUGCCGCGUGAGUGAUGAAGGCCCUAGGGUUGUAAAGCUCUUUUGUGCGGGAAGAUAAUGACGGUACCGCAAGAAUAAGCCCCGGCUAACUUCGUGCCAGCAGCCGCAGUAA